AACGUACGCUGGCGGCACGCCUAACACAUGCAAGUCGAACGAAGUAGCAAUACUUAGUGGCAGACGGGUGAGUAACAUGUAGGUAUCUGCCCUUUGGCCUGGAAUAACACGAGGAAACUUGUGCUAAUACCGGAUAAGUCUUUACGGAGAAAGCUUUAUGCACCAUUGGAUGAGCCUGCACUUGAUUAGUUUGUUGGUGGGGUAAUGGCCUACCAAGACUGUGAUCCAUAGCUGAUUUGAGAGGAUGAUCAGCCACAUUGGGACUGAGACACGGCCCAAACUCCUACGGGAGGCAGCAGUGGGGAAUCUUGCACAAUGGAGGAAACUCUGAUGCAGCGAUGCCGCGUGAGUGAAGAAGGCCCUUGGGUUGUAAAGCUCUUUCGUCGGGGAAGAAAAUGACUGUACCCGAAUAAGAAGGUCCGGCUAACUUCGUGCCAGCAGCCGCGGUAAUACGAAGGGACCUAGCGUAGUUCGGAAUUACUGGGCUUAAAGAGUUCGUAGGUGGUUGAAAAAGUUAGUGGUGAAAUCCCAGAGCUUAACUCUGGAACUGCCAUUAAAACUUUUCAGCUAGAGUAUGAUAGAGGAAAGCAGAAUUUCUAG
rnacentral:rRNA from 1 species